CUCCAUAGUUCAAGGCUAUGGGUAACAUAUUCGAACAACUUCCCAACCAGGGAAGAGGGUGUUCUUGUUUAUUGGUGACACUAUCAUCAUUUAACCAUUAUCAGAUUCCGAUUUGGCACAAACAACAUUC
ensembl:snoRNA small nucleolar RNA SNORA24